GACGAACGCUGGCGGCGUGCUUAACACAUGCAAGUCGUACGGUAAGGCCCUUUCGGGGGUAUACGAGUGGCGAACGGGUGUGUAACACGGGAGUAACCUGCCCACAACUUUGGGAUAACGCUAGGAAACUGGUUCUAAUACUGGAAAUGUGCUUCUGCCGCAUGGUGGGGGUUGGAAAGCUUCGGCGGGUGUGGAUGGACUCGCGGCCUAUCAGCUUGUUGGUGGGGUAGUGGCCUACCAAGGCGGCGACGGGUAGCCGGACUGAGAGGGUGACCGGCCACAUUGAGACUGAGAUACGGCCACGACUCCUACGGGAGGCAGAGGUGGGGAAUGUUGAAAAAUGGGCGCAAGCCUGAUGCAGAAACGCCGCGUGCGGGAUGACGGACUUCGGGUUGUAAACCGAUUUCAGCAGGGACGAAGCUUUUUGUGACGGUACCUGCAGAAGAAGCACCGGCUAACUACGUG
rnacentral:rRNA from 1 species